AUAUCAAUAAGCGGAGGAAAAGAAACCAACAGGGAUUGCCCUAGUAACGGCGAGUGAAGCGGCAACAGCUCAAAUUUGAAAUCUGGCUUCGGCCCGAGUUGUAAUUUGUAGAGGAUGCUUUUGGCGCGGUGCCUUCUGAGUUCCCUGGAACGGGACGCCAUAGAGGGUGAGAGCCCCGUAUAGUUGGACACCAAGCCUUUGUAAAGCUCCUUCGACGAGUCGAGUAGUUUGGGAAUGCUGCUCAAAAUGGGAGGUAAAUUUCUUCUAAAGCUAAAUACCGGCCAGAGACCGAUAGCGCACAAGUAGAGUGAUCGAAAGAUGAAAAGCACUUUGAAAAGAGGGUUAAAUAGCACGUGAAAUUGUUGAAAGGGAAGCGCUUAUGACCAGACUUGUUCUAGGUUGAUCAUCCAGUGUUCUCACUGGUGCACUCUGCCUAGAUCAGGCCAGCGUCGGUUUUCGUAGGGGGAUAAAGGCUUCGGGAAUGUGGCUCCUCCGGGAGUGUUAUAGCCCGUUGCAUAAUACCCUUAUGGGGACCGAGGUACGCGCUCUGCAA
rnacentral:rRNA from 1 species